AUAGUAUAUUCGCAAUUUUAGAUUGCAUCCGCUAUUUAUCUUGUUCUUGCUUGUUCUUCGAUUGCUUGCAGGAACAAAGACCUUCGUGGUCAGGUUGAUCGUGCCCCCGCGUGAUCAAUAACCCUCUGGAGUUUGUGUAUCGAUUGCUAAGGCGCUGCCUCCUAGGCCGUAGUCGGAUCGUCAACGUCACCUCCUACCCAAAUCGAGAGUUAUCAAUCUCAUCGAAAGAUCGGGCCACCCGCACCCGUAUCAGGAAUUUACUCCCAAAAGUUGAAGACCCCGAGGAGUUCAUCCUUUCGCCCACCGAGCUGCCGCAACCCCACGGCGGCUGGCAGGACCGAUACCACUGCGACGCCAAUCUCCUCCCCAUCAUGGAGAAGAUCAAGGCCUUGCAUCUGGCGGGGCUCACCGACGUCGACAAGGCGCGAACCUUCAUCAGCCGGCGAGUCGCGCCGCUCCAACUGCGCUCCCGCCCCGCGUGGAUGUACACGGGGCCCGGAGACAGGACACGCCUCCACCGCGAAGGCGUGCACCGGGAAUCCCUCCAGGUGUGGGUGAAGGGGAUCUCCGGCGAGGACCUUCCCGCUAUGGGGUUCCCACCGGGGGUUAUCUCCCUCCAUGCUGGCGUUCAGGGGCUGAACGACAUCGUCGCCUCAGUCCUGCCCUGCAACGAGUGGGGAUUGAUGGAUGAUACCCCCACUCGGACUCCGCGCGCUCCUCCGCCGGCACCUCGCGGGAAGCAGGUUCUCGAGGAGAGCGGGGGUGAGUCGGAGGUAAGCGGGCCCUCCCUUCGGUCUUCGGACGACGAGGCGGGCUAGCCUGCUGCAUCCCAAGCAGUCGUCCCCAUGGACGACGAUGAGGAGGACAGCGACGACGCGCCCCUGAUCGUGCGCUGAUCAAGGGCGCACGCGGUGGCCGCGGCUACCUCCACGGCGGCUGCGGCAACGUCCGCCCCCGUCGUGGCUACCAGCUCCGCGGUGCCAGCCGCCCUGGGGGCAUCCGCCGGCACCUCAGCGGUGACCCCCCCUGCAGCGGUUGCCAGAGUCACGGCGGUGACUCCCCCGGCAGCGACCACCAGCGACCCGGCAGCAGCUCCCUCCGCAGCAACUGCCGGGGCCUCUGCGGUCGCCACACAGGUGAAUUCAAGUAGUAAUUGUUUUCAUUGUCAUAUUUAUGAAGAGGCGGAGCUGCUACUAUUUUGUCUCGUUUUAUUACGUAGGCAUCUUGUCGAGCUUUUCAAGUCCAAGGUGAAGAUGAGAUACGGUGGAGGCGAACGGGAGGGCCAACAAGAAUCAAGCAUUCAUACAGCUGAGAGGGAAGGAUUUCAAGUGUACUUUCCAACAAAUCAAACGGCACAUGAUUCGGAGCUUGCUAGAGAAAGAUAUCACGAAUUAAAGUUGAAUCCGAUUCGGGUCCGAGCUGCCAGGAGACCCGAAAUUGUUUUAAUCACCCAGGCCGCAUCCGGAGUCCAAAUCAAGCAAACAAGUAUUUGUUGGAAAGGUAAUUACAAGACCUUUCCAACGGAUCUGGCCCCAUAAAGAGAUUCGACUCGUGCUGACCGUGACGGACAAAACAAGCUGACGGAUCUGUUUUUCUGUUUCCUAAAGAGUUGUAAUUUGUUAGGAAAGUUAGAGAUAGAGUUGGAUUUCGGACUCCUUAUUCAAGGUGGACGAAAGUAUCUCUCCCUCCUCCUUUAUAUACCCCAUGAGCCCCCCUAAGGAGCCUUGGGUUUUGUUUAGUUAAAAGUUAGCCAUCGCUACUACUUCGUGUAAUCGCGUGUGUCGGUUAGACCACCUGUUUUACCGCUUUCGGAACCCCAACUUAUCGUCUCGCUGAGACAUUGGUUUGAUAUAGUAUAUUCGCAAUUUUAGAUUGCAUCCGCUAUUUAUCUUGUUCUUGCUUGUUCUUCGAUUGCUUGCAGGAACAAAGACCUUCGUGGUCAGGUUGAUCGUGCCCCCGCGUGAUCAAUAACCCUCUGGAGUUGGUGUAUCGAUUGCUAAGGCGCUGCCUCCUAGGCCGUAGUCGGAUCGUCAAUGUCACCUCCUACCCAAAUCGAGAGUUAUCAAUCUCAUCGAAAGAUUGGGCCACCCGCACCCGUAUCAGGAAUUUACUCCCAAAAGUUGAAUCAUGGUAAAACAUGAUUUUACAAAUUUUCUGGAAUUUAUUUGGACCCAUUUGGAGUUCAAAAUCAAAAGAUAUCAAAGAAAUCAAAAAAAGAAAAAAAGAAAAGAAAAAAAAAGGGAAAAGCGGACCGACCUGGCCCAGCUUCGCCCGCGCCCGAACCGCCCGA
rnacentral:lncRNA from 1 species